CCAAAGAAUUUGGCGGUAUUUUAGUCUAUUUAGAGGAACUUGUCCCGUGAUCGAUAAUCCUCGUUUUAUCUUACUUAAUUUUGUUAUCAGUAAGUAUACCGCCGUUAUAAGUUUAUUUUUUUAGAAUUUAAUUUACUUAAUAAUUUAAUAUUUGUUAUUUCAGGUCAAGGUGCAGUUUAUAGUUAAGUGGAGAUGAGUUACAAUAUUAUUAUAAUAUAUGGAUUUUUUAUUGAAAAAUUUUAUUGAAGGUGGAUUUAAUAGUAAUUUUGAUUAUAGAGUUAAUUUGAUUUUAGCUCUAAAAUAAGCACACAUCGCCCGUCGCUCUA
rnacentral:rRNA from 1 species